rnacentral:rRNA from 1 species
UACGGAGGGAGCUAGCGUUGUUCGGAAUUACUGGGCGUAAAGCGCACGUAGGCGGCUUUGUAAGUUAGAGGUGAAAGCCCGGGGCUCAACCCCGGAAUUGCCUUUAAGACUGCAUCGCUUGAAUCCAGGAGAGGUGAGUGGAAUUCCGAGUGUAGAGGUGAAAUUCGUAGAUAUUCGGAAGAACACCAGUGGCGAAGGCGGCUCACUGACUGGUAUUGACGCUGAGGUGCGAAAGCGUGGGGAGCA